GUCAACAUACCCAAGUGGUUACGGGGUUUGACUUGAAAUCAAAUGCGAACUCGCGCGCAGGUUCGAACCCUGCUGUUGACG
rfam:Phytomonas sp. isolate EM1 genomic scaffold, scaffold_2